GCUUGGGAUGGGGUUAAGGUGGUUAUGGGAGGGUAACGGAGAAGGCUGGGUGGGUGUGGGGUAUCGCGAACCUUUGCGUCUGUCGAGGAUCUUAUCCUCCUGCAGUUUUGCAAGGGCCACCGCUUGUGGGAGAGAGACAGGUUGCAGAGCCUGUACUUCGCGGCGGAGCUCGGGGUGGAGGCCGGAGAUAAAACAACUGAGGAUGUAAGGAGGCGCGAGUUCGACGGUCCGGUUUGCCAAACGUUCAAACUCCGUCAAGUAAUCGUUGACGGAGCCGCGCUGGAACAAUUUGAAUAACGCGCCGUGCGGGUCGUCAUAGAAAGACGGUGCAAAUCGGGACUCAAGAGCCUGUAACAUUGCUGGCCAAGAGUUGAGGAAGCCAUUAUGCAUCAUCCAUUGAUACCAGGAAAGUGCCGGCCCGUCCAUGUAGAAGGAUACCACGGUGAGGCGUUCCUGUUCCGGCACCCCUUGGUAGUCGAAGAAUUGGGAUAUUUUAAAUAUCCACCCUAAGGGGUCUUGGCCGUCGAACCGUGGAAUCUCCAAUUUCAGGUGAUGGUGAUGCUGGUUGGGUUGCGAUGUCGGAGUGGUAGGGGCAGCAGGAAUCGCAAGCAAGGAAAGACGAUCCAGGAUGGAUUCGAGCUUGUCGUUCAUGGCAGAAUGGGCCUGGGAUAGUGUUUGGACUGCCUCCUCGAGGCGUUCGGUGGCUGACUGGCGGGUGUUGUGUUCCGGCAUGGUCAGGGGCAGGUCGGACCAGAAUUGAUGGCAAUUUCUGGGAUUAGGCUUACUAAACUACAAUAUAAGCUAAGCAUGAAUCUUCUCUGCCUUAUUUUAUUAGAUGAUAUUUGUAUUUAUAAGGGAUUACAAGAUAUUUUUCCCACCAAAAGUGAUAUAACCGAAUAACAAACUAUGAAUUUGAAUUUUUGCAGGUUGUUACACGAAUAACAAACUAUGAUACUUGGCAGAGCAUUGCUAAUGUUCUAUCGGUUUCCUGCUUCUACACAUAAUCUUUUAGAUGGGCCGGUUUGAUGGAGAUCCUCUUGGGCCUGAUAUUCUCAGUACGUUUGCUAUCACAAAUUGAGAUUAAUAGAUGAUCUACAUAGGCCGAGUGUGUCCAAAAUUGGCCAUCAAGUGAAUCCUGAGCAGUCACCGCAAAGUCUGGAGCAACCACUUAUAACAUUCGUUCCAAACCAUAGAAGUAACGUUACAAUGUAUGAAGAUAUGAUUUAGAGACUCAUUAUGUUGAAGACAAAAUGGACAAAACAAUUUAGAGUCCUCCACAAUAAUAUUUAUUUUAUUCGUCUUUCGUAGGUAGUCUAUCAUUCAAUGCUCUUCAAAACAGAAACGUCACCUUAGCUUGGUAUUUUGAGGCGCUUCACCAACGCAAAUAUCAUAUUUUGCAUAUCCACAUCAUCCUCUAUGAGCCGUGAUUGGUAUGUCGAAUUUGAAGUGUAAGCACCCGAGGUUCUCAUAUUGUUAACAUUGAUGUUGAUUGGUAAAAUGUAUACAUAAUAUGUUUCCUAAAGAGUGAUGAUGGCUUAGGUGUUAAAGAUUCACACCACAUUAACACUUUUUUGUUGGGUGAUUAAAAUGGUGUGGAGCUUAUUGACAAAUACAAGCACUAUUUGGGUUCAUGUCUUGUCUCACACAACACAAACACAUAGUUAAUGUCAAUUUGUCUCUCCGUGACA